rnacentral:rRNA from 1 species
AACGAACGCUGGCGGCAGGCUUAACACAUGCAAGUCGAGCGCCCCGCAAGGGGAGCGGCAGACGGGUGAGUAACGCGUGGGAAUCUACCCAUCUCUACGGAAUAACGCAUGGAAACGUGUGCUAAUACCGUAUACGUCCUUCGGGAGAAAGAUUUAUCGGAGAUGGAUGAGCCCGCGUUGGAUUAGCUAGUUGGUGGGGUAAAGGCCUACCAAGGCGACGAUCCAUAGCUGGUCUGAGAGGAUGAUCAGCCACACUGGGACUGAGACACGGCCCAGACUCCUACGGGAGGCGGCAGUGGUGAAUAUUGGACAAUGGGCGCAAGCCUGAUCCAGCCAUGCCCCGUGAGUGAUGAAGGCCCUAGGGUUGUAAAGCUCUUUCACCGGUGAAGAUAAUGACGGUAACCGGAGAAGAAGCCCCGGCUAACUUCGUGCCAGCCGCCGCAGUAAGAC